rnacentral:rRNA from 1 species
GUAUCCUGUCUGAAUAUGGGGGGACCAUCCUCCAAGGCUAAAUACUCCUGACUGACCGAUAGUGAACCAGUACCGUGAGGGAAAGGCGAAAAGAACCCCGGCGAGGGGAGUGAAAAAGAACCUGAAACCGUGUACGUACAAGCAGUGGGAGCCUCUUUAUGGGGUGACUGCGUACCUUUUGUAUAAUGGGUCAGCGACUUAUAUUCUGUAGCAAGGUUAACCGAAUAGGGGAGCCGAAGGGAAACCGAGUCUUAACUGGGCGUUAAGUUGCAGGGUAUAGACCCGAAACCCGGUGAUCUAGCCAUGGGCAGGUUGAAGGUUGGGUAACACUAACUGGAGGACCGAACCGACUAAUGUUGAAAAAUUAGCGGAUGACUUGUGGCUGGGGGUGAAAGGCCAAUCAAACCGGGAGAUAGCUGGUUCUCCCCGAAAGCUAUUUAGGUAGCGCCUCGUGAAUUCAUCUCCGGGGGUAGAGCACUGUUUCGGCAAGGGGGUCAUCCCGACUUACCAACCCGAUGCAAACUGCGAAUACCGGAGAAUGUUAUCACGGGAGACACACGGCGGGUGCUAACGUCCGUCGUGAAGAGGGAAACAACCCAGACCGCCAGCUAAGGUCCCAAAGUCAUGGUUAAGUGGGAAACGAUGUGGGAAGGCCCAGACAGCCAGGAUGUUGGCUUAGAAGCAGCCAUCAUUUAAAGAAAGCGUAAUAGCUCACUGGUCGAGUCGGCCUGCGCGGAAGAUGUAACGGGGCUAAACCAUGCACCGAAGCUGCGGCAGCGACACUAUGUGUUGUUGGGUAGGGGAGCGUUCUGUAAGCCUGUGAAGGUGUACUGUGAGGUAUGCUGGAGGUAUCAGAAGUGCGAAUGCUGACAUAAGUAACGAUAAAGCGGGUGAAAAGCCCGCUCGCCGGAAGACCAAGGGUUCCUGUCCAACGUUAAUCGGGGCAGGGUGAGUCGACCCCUAAGGCGAGGCCGAAAGGCGUAGUCGAUGGGAAACAGGUUAAUAUUCCUGUACUUGGUGUUACUGCGAAGGGGGGACGGAGAAGGCUAUGUUGGCCGGGCGACGGUUGUCCCGGUUUAAGCGUGUAGGCUGGUUUUCCAGGCAAAUCCGGAAAAUCAAGGCUGAGGCGUGAUGACGAGGCACUACGGUGCUGAAGCAACAAAUGCCCUGCUUCCAGGAAAAGCCUCUAAGCAUCAGGUAACAUCAAAUCGUACCCCAAACCGACACAGGUGGUCAGGUAGAGAAUACCAAGGCGCUUGAGAGAACUCGGGUGAAGGAACUAGGCAAAAUGGUGCCGUAACUUCGGGAGAAGGCACGCUGAUAUGUAGGUGAAGCGACUUGCUCGUGGAGCUGAAAUCAGUCGAAGAUACCAGCUGGCUGCAACUGUUUAUUAAAAACACAGCACUGUGCAAACACGAAAGUGGACGUAUACGGUGUGACGCCUGCCCGGUGCCGGAAGGUUAAUUGAUGGGGUUAGCGGUAACGCGAAGCUCUUGAUCGAAGCCCCGGUAAACGGCGGCCGUAACUAUAACGGUCCUAAGGUAGCGAAAUUCCUUGUCGGGUAAGUUCCGACCUGCACGAAUGGCGUAAUGAUGGCCAGGCUGUCUCCACCCGAGACUCAGUGAAAUUGAACUCGCUGUGAAGAUGCAGUGUACCCGCGGCAAGACGGAAAGACCCCGUGAACCUUUACUAUAGCUUGACACUGAACAUUGAGCCUUGAUGUGUAGGAUAGGUGGGAGGCUUUGAAGUGUGGACGCCAGUCUGCAUGGAGCCGGCCUUGAAAUACCACCCUUUAAUGUUUGAUGUUCUAACGUUGGCCCCUGAUCGGGGUUGCGGACAGUGUCUGGUGGGUAGUUUGACUGGGGCGGUCUCCUCCUAAAGAGUAACGGAGGAGCACGAAGGUUGGCUAAUCCUGGUCGGACAUCAGGAGGUUAGUGCAAUGGCAUAAGCCAGCUUGACUGCGAGCGUGACGGCGCGAGCAGGUGCGAAAGCAGGUCAUAGUGAUCCGGUGGUUCUGAAUGGAAGGGCCAUCGCUCAACGGAUAAAAGGUACUCCGGGGAUAACAGGCUGAUACCGCCCAAGAGUUCAUAUCGACGGCGGUGUUUGGCACCUCGAUGUCGGCUCAUCACAUCCUGGGGCUGAAGUAGGUCCCAAGGGUAUGGCUGUUCGCCAUUUAAAGUGGUACGCGAGCUGGGUUUAGAACGUCGUGAGACAGUUCGGUCCCUAUCUGCCGUGGGCGCUGGAGAACUGAGGGGGGCUGCUCCUAGUACGAGAGGACCGGAGUGGACGCAUCACUGGUGUUCGGGUUGUCAUGCCAAUGGCACUGCCCGGUAGCUAAAUGCGGAAGAGAUAAGUGCUGAAAGCAUCUAAGCACGAAACUUGCCCCGAGAUGAGUUCUCCCUGACUCCUUGAGAGUCCUGAAGGAACGUUGAAGACGACGACGUUGAUAGGCCGGGUGUGUAAGCGCAGCGAUGCGUUGAGCUAACCGGUACUAAUGAACCGUGAGGCUUAACCUUA